rnacentral:misc_RNA from 1 species
GCUCCGUAGGUGAACCUGCGGAGGGAUCAUUGCAGAGUUCGUGCCCUCACGGGUAGAUCUCCCACCCUGUGUUAUUAUACCUUUGUUGCUUUGGCGGGCCGCCCUCGGCUACCGGCCCCGGCUGGUACGCGCCCGCCAGAGGACCCCAAACUCUGAAUGUUAGUGUCGUCUGAGUACUAUACAAUAGUUAAAACUUUCAACAACGGAUCUCUUGGUUCUG